GGCCCAGUGGUGUACUGGUAACACAUCCUCUUUAAUUAUAGGUGAUCCAUCUGAGGUCAGAGGAUGCACCCUGUUCAAUUCGGGGCUGGGCUA